rnacentral:lncRNA from 1 species
GGACAGGAGGGGACACUGGAUCCCAAAAAGGGACAUGGGACCUCCCCCACAGGGAUGUGGGACCCCCCCAAAGGGACCAAAGGGACAGGAGGGGACAUGGGACCCCCAAAAGGACAUGGACCCCUCCCCAAAGGGACAUGGGACCCCCAAAUGGGCAUAGGACCCCCCCAAAGGGAUGUGGGACAUCCCAAAGGGACAGGAGGGGACAUGGGACCCCCAAAGGGNNNNNNNNNNNNNNGGGACCUAAGGGACAGGAGGGGACAUGGGACCCCCCCAAAAGGACAUGGACCCCCCCCAAAGGGAUGUGGGACCCCCAAAUGGACAUAGGAUCCCCCCAAAGGGAUGUGGGACAUCCUAAAGGGACAGGAGGGAACAUGGGACCCCAAAAAGGGACAUGGGACCCCCAAAGGGAUGUGGGACCCCCCCCAAAAGGAUAUGGGACACCCUAAAGGGACCAAAGGGACAGGAGGGGACACGGAACCCCUAAAAGGACCCCCCCCAAAAAGGAUCUAAGGAACAAAAGGAGACACUGAACCCCUGACAGGGAUGUAAGGAACAAGAAGGGAUCAGGACCCCCCCCCUCGAAAAAGACAAAAA